rnacentral:misc_RNA from 1 species
GUGAAAAUUACUUAUAACCUUUAGGGUUUCACAAAAUAAAAAGUAGAGAUUAAACUUGUAUUGCCCUAGUUGGACAUUUAUCACGUACAUAGUAUGAAUCAUGUACCAUAAUAUUAUCUCCUUUUUUCGUGAAGUUUGUGUCUAUAAUUUUAAUACUGUGCGGAUGAUAGUUCAGAUAUUCCCAAUAUCUAACUUUGAGUUCAUA